rnacentral:rRNA from 1 species
UGUUGCUUUGGCGGGACCGUUCGGUCCCCGAACCGCCAGGCUCCCUCACGGGGGUCCCGGUGAGUGCCCGCCAGAGUUAAACCAAACUCUUGUUAUUUAAACCGGUCGUCUGAGUAAAAUUUUUUGAAUUAAAUCAAAACUUUCAACAACGGAUCUCUUGGUUCUCGCAUCGAUGAAGAACGCAGCGAAAUGCGAUAAGUAAUGUGAAUUGCAGAAUUCAGUGAAUCAUCGAAUCUUUGAACGCACAUUGCGCCCCUUGGUAUUCCGAGGGGCAUGCCUGUUCGAGCGUCAUUACACCACUCAAGCACAGCUUGGUAUUGGGCAACCGCCCCCGCCAGUCGGGGACGCGCCUCAAAAACCUCGGCGGAGCCUCACCGGCUUUGGGCGUAGUAGAUUUUCUAAACGUCCUUUAACGGAGAUGGUUCCAUUGCCGACUGAAGCCUUUAAAUUUUUCUAGGUUGACCUCGGAUCAGGUAGGGAUACCCGCUGAACUUAAGCAUAUCAAUAAGCGG